AUUGAACGCUGGCGGCAGGCCUAACACAUGCAAGUCGAGCGGUAGCACAGGGAGCUUGCUCCUGGGUGACGAGCGGCGGACGGGUGAGUAAUGUCUGGGAAACUGCCUGAUGGAGGGGGAUAACUACUGGAAACGGUAGCUAAUACCGCAUAACGUCGCAAGACCAAAGAGGGGGACCUUCGGGCCUCUUGCCAUCAGAUGUGCCCAGAUGGGAUUAGCUAGUAGGUGGGGUAACGGCUCACCUAGGCGACGAUCCCUAGCUGGUCUGAGAGGAGGACGAGCCACACUGGAGCUGAGACACGGUCCAGACUCCUACGGGAGGCAGCAGUGGGGAAUAUUGCACAAUGGGGGCAAGCCUGAUGCAGCCAUGCCGCGUGUAUGAAGAAGGCCUUCGGGUUGUAAAGUACUUUCAGCGGGGAGGAAGGUGUUGAGGUUAAUAACCUCAGCAAUUGACGUUACCCGCAGAAGAAGCACCGGCUAACUCCGUGCCAGCCGCCGCAGUAA
rnacentral:rRNA from 1 species